UAGAGUACUGUCACUUCUCCAACGGGU
rnacentral:piRNA from 1 species